rnacentral:rRNA from 1 species
GCAUAUGGGCGCAGCCUGAUGCAGCCAUGCCGCGUGUAUGAGAAGGCCUUCGGGUUGUAAAGUACUUUCAGCGGGGAGGAAGGGAGUAAAGUUAAUACCUUUGCUCAUUGACGUUACCCGCAGAAGAAGCACCGGCUAACUCCAUGCCAGCAGCCGCGGUAAU